GGGGCUGUAGCAUAGUUUGGCUGGUGCACUCGACUGAUAAUCGAGAGGUCCCAGGUUCAAAUCCUGGCAGCCCCA
rnacentral:tRNA from 1 species